GUGAGGAAUAUUGGGCAAUGCCCGCAAGGGUGACCCAGCAACGCCGCGUGGAGGAUGAAUGCCGUAAGGUUGUAAACUCCUGUUAGAGGGGAAGAAUAAUUCCGAUUGCAUCGGAACUUGACUGUACCCUCAGAGAAAGCCCCGGCUAACUACGUGCCAGCAGCCGCGGUAAUACGUAGGGGGCAAGCGUUGUCCGGAUUUACUGGGUGUAAAGGGCGCGCAGGUGGGCUUGAUAGUUAGAGGUGAAAUCCUGUGGCUUAACUGCAGAACUGCCUUUAAUACUUCAAGUCUUGAGUGCGGAAGAGAGAGACGGAAUUCCAGGUGUAGUAGUGAAAUACGUAGAUAUCUGGAAGAACACCAGUUGCGAAGGCGGUCUCUUGGUCCGUAACUGACACUUAGGCGCGAAAGCGUGGGGAGCAAACAGGAUUAGAAACCCCAGUAGUCC
rnacentral:rRNA from 1 species